rnacentral:rRNA from 1 species
GUAAUAGCUCACUGGUCGAGUCGGCCUGCGCGGAAGAUGUAACGGGGCUAAACCAUGCACCGAAGCUGCGGCAGCGAACGUAUCACCCAAGACAACUUUACGGAGUUGACGAUUGACGGAGCGAAGCGACGUCAAAGCGUUCAUUAAAGUCGAGUUGGCUUAGGGAUACGUUCGUUGGGUAGGGGAGCGUUCUGUAAGCCUGUGAAGGUGUGUCGUGAGGCAUGCUGGAGGUAUCAGAAGUGCGAAUGCU